GUGGGGAAUAUUGGGCAAUGGGCGAAAGCCUGACCCAGCAACGCCGCGUGAAGGAAGAAGGUCUUCGGAUCGUAAACUUCUAUCCUUGGUGAAGAUAAUGACGGUAGCCGAGAAGGAAGCCCCGGCUAACUACGUGCCAGCAGCCGCGGUAAUACGUAGGGGGCAAGCGUUGUCCGGAAUGAUUGGGCGUAAAGGGCGCGUAGGCGGCCUGGUAAGUCUGGAGUGAAAGUCCUGCUUUUAAGCUGGGAAUUGCUUUGGAUACUGUCGGGCUUGAGUGCAGGAGAGGUAAGUGGAAUUCCCGGUGUAGCGGUGAAAUGCGUAGAGAUCGGGAGGAACACCAGUGGCGAAGGCGACUUACUGGACUGUAACUGACGCUGAGGCGCGAAAGUGUGGGGAGCAAACAGGAUUAGAAACCCGGGUAGUCC
rnacentral:rRNA from 1 species